rnacentral:lncRNA from 1 species
UUGUGAUUUUAAAUGCCUUAUUAAGAGAUCAUUAUGGAUACUGCAUUCAUGUUUGCCAAAAAUCUUAACAGAUGAUUCUAUUCUUGAUUCUGAUAACACAGCUGUUUAUAUUGCUGCCAGUAGGAAAGGAACAGAUUAAAAGUGACUGCUGAUGAUCUUGGAGCCUGAAUUCGCAGGAUACCCUUCCUAAAGGACUACUACCAGAUGACUGCCACAGCUUUCAAAAAUGGACACAAUUGGAGUCAAACCCAUCAAAAGACAGAAGAGGAAAGAACCAAUACUUUAGCCAAGUGAGCAGAGAAGCAUCUAUUUUGUUCCUGCCAAUAAACUGAAGACAACAAGCAGAGAGUGCAAUAACGAUGUAUAAGCCAUAACUUGAUGAAAGAAUACCUAAAGGUGAACUUCGGGCAGGGCAUGCACACGCCACGGCAUCUCCAGCAGUCCUGGCCCUCCACUGGCCCCGCUGGAAGGACUCCUGUCACCCCAAUGUGGCCUUCUUGAGCCCGUGUGCCCCAAUUUUCCUUCCUCAGAACGGGUGUAGGUUGUGCCCAGGAUAUGCACAUGGAUGGAUGCACCUGGAAAUGUUUCUGUAUCCUACUGAGAGAGUUAUCCGGCGGUUUAGUCUCCUUUUAGACACUCAAGGAUCUAGUCAGCACUUGAAUCUGAACCCAGAGACACUCCCAGCACAGUCUCCACACAGAAAUUUUUGAAUCGAGCACGGAUCCAGAUCCAGCCCCGGUGGACAGGAGCC